rnacentral:lncRNA from 1 species
CUUUUUGCCAUUUCUUGGGGCACUGCUGUGGCAUAUGUAGGUUCCCAGGCUAGGGGUCUAAUCGGAGCUGCAGCUGCCGGCCUACGCCAGAGCCACAGCAACUCGGGAUCUGAGACGAAUCUGAAACCUACACCACAGCUCACGGCAACAUUGGAUCGUUAACCCACUGAGCAAGGGCAGGGAUUGAACCCGCAACCUCACGGUUCCUAGUCAGAUUCGUUAACCACUAACACACGACGGGAACUCCAUCAUUUUCUUUUUUUUUUCCUGACCAUCUUUCACUUGUUUUUGAAAUUCCAAAUAACAUUAGAACAUGGAACCACUGAGUGUGUGAAGAGAGAAGACAUGGGUUUAAAUAAAGUAUCUUCCCAGGGCCAUUCAGAUAGUAACCCUCUCAAAGGGCAGCAGUCCCAUCUUCCAUUUCUUUUAGAUCCAAGAGAUUUCUCAGCAAACUCUUGUUAAGUGAUGUGAAUGGUAAUAACCCCUUGUUGAGUGACGUGAGUGAUGAUAUCCAAUUGGACAAAUGUUCACUGCAUCCAGUCCCUUUACAUGCCUGCCAGGUAUAAGAUGCUGUAGAAUGCCACCAGCCAUGCCCAUUUUACAGAUGAGGAAACUGAAUAAGGGAGGUGACUGCCACAGCCCUGUGCCUGAGAGGAAUUCCACAAGACAGCUGGAGGUGUGGCAAUUCGCCUUUUAUUCUGCUGGCCUCCCCUGUGGGAAUGAGAUGCCAGGGGCUCUGCUUUAAACGGGAAAAUCUGGAUUGUCCUGACAGACAUGGGAUCUGGUGUUACUCCUUUUUACAAAAGGAUCCUUUAUUAUACCAAAGAACUGAAGGUCCCAUUCUUGGCCAGGUCCCCAGGGGGCCUGGGCUUUGUGGCGUAGCAGAACACAUCACUUUACGCCCCAGCUGGGCUUCUAUAAAGGGGUUGUAAGUCAAAGUUUUGUGAAUUGGAUCAUAGUUUAGAGAAGAGAUAAAAGAAUAAGGCUGUGAAUCCUUGGGAAGAAUCUGUGUGUGAGGUGAUAAUCAGAACCAGAUUUAUGAUUUCUGUGAAGACAAAAAUCAGAGAUAAAUGUCAACAAUGCCUGGAAUCCUAUGAUGAUUAAUUAAGAGCCUCCUUGGGUAAUAGACACUGUUCUGGCUUUAAAGAUGUUUUCUCAUUUAAAUCUCACCAAAAGAAAAGAAAAAGAAAACAACUUUUGAGUUAGGUGUUAUUUAUCUCCGGUUUAAGAGUCAGGGAAAUGGAGGCUUGGUGAUAUUAAGCAGCUUGCCCGAAGUCACAGGGCUCAGAGGAGAGCUGGGAUUCCAACAAGGCCCACCCUUUUUUUGGAAGCUCCGGCUCUUUACCAGAGACAGCGCAGAGGCUGCUUGUCAACUCUGAGGUUACUCUGCCUGGCUGCAGUCCCAGCCUUGUCCCUUCCUCACUGUGCAUCUGUUUCCUGGGCUGUAAAAUGGGCUGCAGAAACCCUCCCUCAACAGAUUGCUGUGAAGUUUCAAUGAGAUAAUGUACUUAAAGCACCUGGCACACAGCUAGCACUCCAUAAAUGACAGCAAUCAUCCUGCAGAACUGCUCUGCAUCAUGGAACCAUCAAAAUCAACAACACAUGUCAAUCACCUACACUGUCCAGUGCACCCCGAUGUCCCCUAAGCAUCAGCACUGUGAUCGGAUCACCUGUGUUUCAUACUAGCCCUGCCACUCACUCACGUGGGACUUCGGCAAACUGCUUAAGCUCUCUGGGCUUCAGAAUUGGGGCUACAGAGAGCACCACCCUAAAGGGUGAUUGUGAGGAGUAAAUGAGCCAUGGAAAGUGCCUCAAACCAGGAAUCACUCAAAUGGUAGCUGUGGUUACUAAUAUGUGCUAGGAGAUUUACAGAUGCUAUUUCGAGUGGUCCACGAUCCUAAACAUGUUUUUAUGGUGCAGGCAGCUGAGACCAGAGAGGUUAGUAACUCUCUGGGUCCCACAAGCUGUCCAAGUGGGGCUUGGGUCUGUGCUCAUCUGACAUUGUGCAGGCCCAGCAGGCUAUCUACCCAACAGCCAUUCCUCCAUGUCCCUCUUUCCUGAUUUUGUUUGGGGUACACCAUUCCAUGUGUAGGGAAUGUAGCUUAUUCCUAGACCCAGAGGGCUAUGCGGUAAUUUGAGUCCCCUGGAAAGCAGAUGCCAAGACAACAGAGAUAACUACCCUCAUCACAGCAGGUUCUCUCUGGGUACCAUACCUCUAUGGCCACCAUUAGUCCUUGGCAUUAGCCCAAGUGGUUCAAAGUGAUUCUACUCCCCUAGGCAGUGCCUAGAUUAGGCGGGAAUAUGUGAUGUGCCUAGACCAAUAAGACAUAUUGGGGCACUUGUGGGAAAAGUGUGUUUUCCUCUUCCACUCAGUGCAGCUGUGGAGAGAGGUGGUGUCUGGAGCUGUGGCAGCCUUUUUGAGAUCAUGAAGACACAAACUUGAAGACAAAACCCAACACAUUCAAGAUGGCAGAGUGAGGAGAUUUUAAAAAUGUGGGUCAUUGAUGAAAUCAGUGUAUCGCUGAAUUAACCACCUGGAAUAUUCUCCCUCAAGAGGCUUACUAUGUGAGAUAGUAAACCCCUUAUCAAAGCUAUUAUUGUCAUGUAACAAAUUAUCACUAAAUGUAGCAGCUUAAAACAUUUUUUUUUUUAAUCUUUUUUUGCUAUUUCUUGGGCCACUCCUGCAGCAUAUGGAGGUUCCCAGGCUAGGGGUCCAAUCGGAGCUGUAGCCACUAGCCUACGCCAGAGCCACAGCAAUGCCAGAUCCAAGACGCGUCUGCAACCUACACCACAGCUCACGGCAACGCCGGAUCGUUAAACCACUGAGCAAGGCCAGGGACCGAACCCGCAACCUCAUGGUUCCUAGUCGGAUUCGUUAACCACUGCGCCAUGACGGGAACUCCUAAAACAACAUUUAUUAUCUCACACGGUUUGGAGAGUCAGGAAUCUAGGAACAGCUUAGUAGGGAGGUUCUGGCUCAUGGUCUUUCAUGAAAGCAGUCAAGAGGUUGCCCCUGAUUACGGUCAUAUGGAUCCUUUCCCAAGAUGGCUAUUGGCAGGAGGCCUCAGCUCCUCACCAUGCGGGCCUCUCCAUAGGAUAGCCUGGGUGUCUUCACAAUAUAGUGGUGGUUGGCUUUCUCCAGGAUCAGUGAGGGAGAAAGGAAAAAGCCAUAAUGCUUUUUAUGACCAAGUUUCUAAAAUAACCCACUGUUAUUUCUGCCUUAUUCUAUUCACUAAUUGCAAGUCAUGUAGGCUAGCUCAUGCUCAAGGGGAGAGAAAUUAAGCUCCAGUCUAUAAAGGGAGGAGUACAAAGAUUUGGGGGGUUUAAAGCCACUAAGUUACUUGUUGCUGGGUCUCCUUUACUUAAAAAGAUCUCAAAGACAGUAUUCUUUAUAUUCCAUGACACUGCCAGCUUGGGUAGGGAAAUUGGGUACUGGGGAUAAGACCCAAACCGUCAAAAGAUUUUCCAACUUGGAAACCCUCCAGUCCCACUAGAUUCUCACAGAGUGGGCCUCCUUAAAGACAGGUAUACCUAUAAAACAUGUCCUACUUGAAAAUAAAUGUAAACAUAAUACUUUAUGAGGAAAUAUUAAAAAUAUACAACAAAGGAUAAAGGAUAAUUCAACAAUUCCCAUGAAUACCACCUAGCUUAAGAAAUAAAGCAAUACACAUGUAAUGGAAGCCCCGUAUGUUCACAUACUCUGAUCACAUUGUUCUCCUCAUCCCAGUGGGAAGCAUUAUCUAUAUUUCAGUGUUUUUCAGUCCCCUGACUUUUUUUUAUACUUUAAUUGCACAUAGUGUGACUCUAUGUAAUGUAUGUUUUGCUUGUUUCUAAACUUUGUAGAAAUAGGGCCACAUUGAAUAGAUUCUUCUGCAACUUGCUUUUUCCUCUACAUUAUGUAUGUAAGAUUCAACCGUGUGAGGGUGUGAAAUUGGAACCCUUAGACAUUGCUGGUAGGGGUGCAGCCACUUUGGAAAACCACCUGGCAGUUUCUCAAAAAGUUAAACAUAAAAUUGCCAUAUGACCUAGAAAUUCUACUCCAAGGUAUAUACUCAAGAUUAAAACAGAUCUCCACAUAAAAACCUGUAUGUGAAUAUUCACAGCAGCCUUAUGCAUAAGAGCCAAGAGGUAGAAACAAUUCAGAUGUCCAUCCACUAAUGAAUGGGUAAACAAAAGUGAUCUAUCCAUACAAUGGAAUAUUAUUUGGCUACAAAAAGGAAUGAAGUACUGAUACAUGCUACAAAGAAGAUGAACCUUAAAAACACUAUAGCCAGUGACAAAAGUCAGUUCCAGAAGACCAAAUGUUGUACGAUUCCAUAUAUACGAAAGGCCAGAAGAGGCAAAUCCAUAGAUUAGGGGUGGCCUGGGGCUGGGGGUGGGGAGGAAUGGGGAGUGACUGCUAAUGUGUGUAAAGUUUCUUUUGGAGGUAAUGAAAAUAUUCUGGACUUAGGUAGCAGUGAUGGUUGCUCAAUGUGGUGACCAUCAUAAAAACCAUUGCAUUGCACACUUUCAACAGUGAAUUUUAUGACGUGUGAAUUAUAUCUCAAUAAAAAGACUCAACCAUAAUACACAGGCCUGGUCAUUCAUUUUCACUCCUGUAUCAUAGUAAGUCUUUAGUGGGAAUAUUCCAAAUCCAUCCAUUCUCCCAUUAAUGGAUAUUUGUGUGGUUUCUCUCUUUGCUGCUAUUACUAGUGGUGCUGCCACAUGAGCAUUCCCUGCACAGUUCUUUGUGCACGAGUGAGUGUUUCUUGGAAGUACAUACCAAGGAGUGCGGUCGCUGGGGGGUAGGGCAUAGGCAUCUCUAACUCCACACCACUGCUCUCUAAAACUCCCUGUGAGUCUGGGGAGAGGAGGCAAGGAAGCCAUCUCUGCCUCCACCCUUGGCCCCUGCAAACCACCUGAGGUCUCAGAAAAUAGGGCAAUCGAAUUGGAAAACAAAUAACAGAAAUCAAGCGGUGGGCUGCUUCCCCUGCCGCCGUUCCGAGACCCGCCGGACGGGCAGCAGGGCCUCCCCGACCAGAAAAUAUUAACAGCAUUUAAUGAAUAUUCACAAGGAUUCAUUAAACAUUUCCCCGUGUGGCUGAACAAAACAGUGUUCAAACCCCCAAGCCAUUAACAAAAAAGGAAGAAGAAAUAUUACAGGGAUGAUGUGCACAAGCCAGAAACGCCACGGGCAAGAAACAGCUGCUGCUUCUUUUUUUUUAAACUCAACUUCAUCUUCUUCAUCUCACGGGUGUUUAAAAUGGGCCCAGUGUCCUAAGUCUCUGUGACGUCUUUGAAUAGACGGUCCUGAUUAAUAGGGCGAUGAUUACAUUUUCCUACUUCAUGUACACAGAGAGCUGCCUUUGUCACGGCAGCAGUAUUUAAAUGAGGCAUUUCCGUUGGAAAGGGUUUCUCCAUGAACUGUCUCGUUGGACCCGUGCGACUACCUGAUGGGUGGUCCAAAACUUACACUCAGACAAGGAAAUGGGUCCAGGUUCAUUAGUGGACUCACUCAAGGGCACUUCUCAAGGCUAUUAUGUCGGCAGUGGACAUCUUCUGAGGAAAGUUGAGCCUGUGACCUCAUGACCUCAUCCCCUGACCAUAGCCCACUGGACCAGGCAUGGGCUGGACCCAAAGCCUGAGGUGCAGAGGUGGUCUUGGGUGAAAAUGCUAUCCAACAGAGGUGCCCUCCCCUGAUCGGCGGCUAGAGAGCCGGGGAGAGCUUCCGUCUGGGGGAAUCAGGUCAGGAUAUAGAACAGACUGGAGCCCAGACAGAGGUGGAUAGACCCACAGCCCAAAGCAUGACCUAGUCCUGGAAGUCACCACAGUCACUCGGCCACAUUCCAUUCCCUCCUUCCAAGAGAGUCAGUAAACCUGGUCCAUACUCAAGGGGAGAGGACUCAGCUUCCACCUCUGGAAAGGAGGAGUAUCCAAUAAUUGAUGAGUAUUUAAAAACCACCCCAGACCCAAGUCUUUUUUUUUUAGGUCCGCUCCCAUGGCAUAUGGAGGUUCCCAGGCUAGGGGUCGAAUCGGAGCUGUAGCCACUGGCCUACACCACAGCCAGAGCAAUGCCAAAUCUGAGCUAUGUCUGCGACCUACACCACACCUCAUGGUAAUGCCGGAUCCUUAACCCACUGAGCAAGGUCAGAUAUCGAACCUGGGUCCACAUGGAUACUAGUCAGAUUCAUUUCCACUGAGCCACAAUGG